UGUACUGUAUACUUCUGUGCAUGUCUCCAGCCUCUUCCUGCUUUUUUGCUCUUUGUCUGCAGCAAAGACAUUUCUAAAUGGCCGGAUGAAUUACACUGAAAAGGGGAGAGGAGAGCAACUGCAAGUGAUGUCAACGAACGAGCCACUGAUUUAUUUAUGAACAUAGCAAAAUGACAUUUUAACAGUCAAACACAGCUGUUGACUCAGUCACAAAGGAUUAUCCAGUGUUGUUUCCUUGAAGACUGAUGGUUUAGUCUGAUUUGUUAAAAUGCUGAUUUGUACAGGAGAAAUGAGCAGAAGAAGCAGAUGGCAAUUCAGCAAAGUAUGUCUACUACUCCAUUUGUUUCAUCUGUGGAUUCUUGUUGCCCUUCCUGGUCAUCCUUAUCUGUUACAUACUAACUGCUGUUGGGAUACGCAGAACACGGCUCUUUGGAAAACCAAGACCUCUUUGGAUUCUUGUCGUAUUGGUCUGUGCCUUUUUCUUAUGCUGGGCCCGCUACCACUUUAUUGGGUUGGCCAAGUUGGUGAAUGAAGACAACAAGCCAGUAAAAGUGGAAUGGAGUAUGGCUUCAUACUUAACCUUUUUCAACAGCUGCAUUAACCUGGUUCUGUAUUUCUGCAUGGGACUGGGUGUUAGUCACCGAUGCAACCAAAGUUUGUCUGGGAUUUUUUGCAAAGCACCUAUAUGGAAGAAGGCCAAACUCUCUCACAGCAAGGCACUAGAGAAGAAAGCUGUAAUUACAUUUCAAAGGCUGCAGUCACUGAGUGUGAAACUAGAGUUUAAGAUAACUUUUUAUAAGCAAGUUUUUAGAUGAGAUUGAUAGCAUGAACAUUUUCUUUGCUGCUUGGACUUUAUCUUUUGUAGUUUCAAAUAAGAGCCAAAUAAGCACAUUUAUUGUACCAUAAUUGUCAGACUAUUUUCUGGUUUGAAAUAUAUUUAAACAAAAUUUUGUCAAACAGCUUUGAAAAUGCCAGCCUUUCCACAUACAAAUAAAUAGGAACUGUACUUGAUUGCCUAUUUAAAAAUAAAGAAUUGUAAAAAAUUAAUGAAAAAUAAAGUUUAAAAUUCAAGGAGAUAUAAUGCAUUUUCUCAAGUAUUGUUGACACAACUAUUGU
rnacentral:lncRNA from 12 species